AUCUCUAUUAUUUUGAAUACAAUAUCUCAAGAAGGUCUUGGGGGAGUUUUGUCAAAUUUGGCACAAACUUCUAUUUGAACACAAGAUAGAAGUGAUUACAGUUUGGUGGCUGAAGGUCAAAGGCAAAGGUCACCGUGACCUCACAUACCAUAUUUUUUGCCAUUACUCAGUAAUUCAAAUAUAAGUAUACCAACCUUUCAAAAAAUGUCUAAUUCGAUACAAAUUAAGUGAUGACAUUUUCUAUCCAAUUGGUCAAAGGUCACCCUCACAUGAUGAUGCUGAUGAUGUUGGAUGACAUCACCAAAAUUGCCAAAUGAAUAAAUGACAUGUUCUUCAUAUGUUGAAACCAUUUCAUUCAUGAAAAGCCGGCGUGAACGCCAAAUAGACCAGAACUGAAACUCAGCACUAACUUUGAUGUAUCUUUGUUUGUUUUUUUUGUUUGUUUUUUUUUUACAGGAACGUGGAGAGAAAGGCAAGGCAUGAUCAGAUCCGCAAGAAGUACGGUCUGAUGAGCGACUCGGACCACCCGUACAGCAAGUUUGAGAACGAGUAAAGCAGCUGCGCUGGAAGGCUUCCACAGGCAACAUGUGGAGCAGGCCGUUAGUUUUUAGCUCGAGUAAUGCCCAUUUCUCACACAAACAGUUAGACAAAUGCUGAGUGCCCUCAUUCACAAUGAGGAAACUCAGACAGAAAAUCACUCUUUUACACUUUUCAAACAACAAACCCAGAGAAAAAAAAUCUUUUUAAAUUCUUGCUGAGAAUAGAGUGUUGUGUGUCGGAUGGAUGUUGAAGUUGGUUUUAAAACUUCCUGCAAAGUUCUUUCAUCUUUUGAAAUUUCAUUGAAUGAGUUAUCUCUUUUUAAACAUUGUAGUUUCAUAUCGGUCUUUGCACUUUGUACAUACAGUAUUGAUUUAUGAAAUCCAAAAAUAAUGAUUGUACUGCAUAUGUGUUCUGACACAUAAAUAAAUUUCUUCUCUUUUAA